AACUUUCAGCAACGGAUCUCUUGGCUCUCGCAUCGAUGAAGAACGCAGCGAAAUGCGAUAAGUAAUGUGAAUUGCAGAAUUCAGUGAAUCAUCGAAUCUUUGAACGCACCUUGCGCUCCUUGGUAUUCCGAGGAGCAUGCCUGUUUGAGUCUCAUG
rnacentral:rRNA from 4 species